rnacentral:rRNA from 1 species
AACGAACGCUGGCGGCAGGCCUAACACAUGCAAGUCGAGCGGACCCUUCGGGGUUAGCGGCGGACGGGUGAGUAACGCGUGGGAAUAUGCCCUUCUCUACGGAAUAGUCCUGGGAAACUGGGGGUAAUACCGUAUACGCCCUUUGGGGGAAAGAUUUAUCGGGGAAGGAUUAGCCCGCGUUGGAUUAGGUAGUUGGUGGGGUAAUGGCCUACCAAGCCGACGAUCCAUAGCUGGUUUGAGAGAAUGAGCAGCCACACUGGGACUGAGACACGGCACAGACUCUUCCGGGAGGGAGCAGUGGGGAAUGUUAGAACAUGGGGGGAACGAUGAUCUAGCCAUGCCGGGAGAAUGCUGAAGGCAUUAGGGUUGUAAAGCUCUUUCAACUGGGAAGAUAUUGACGGUACCAGAACAAGAAGCCCCGGCUAACUACGUG